rnacentral:tRNA from 1 species
GCGCCCGUAGCUCAGUAGGAUAGAGCAUCGGUUUCCUAAACCGAGUGUCAGGGGUUCGAAUCCCUUCGGGCGCACCA